UUCCACAGGAAAUUACAGGGGAAGAAUUUGACCUACUGCUGGAACCUCUGGAACCCACAUAGGAAAUAAAUGCUGUGCAAUUUUUAGAGUCCAUCUAUCAUAUGGAAGGCUGAAGCAACAGAGUCUUCUCAGUAAAGAAGAUUGACAGCAAGGGAAGAAAAUCUCCUUCCUAUUUCAUUUGAAAUCAAUAAUUAUGGACAUUUAUGAAAACCAGUACCUGCAUGAUGAUUACAUCACCGUUUCGAAACCUAAAGGUGGUUUUGGAGAUAUCUCCCAGAUCCUGCAUUCCAGUGGAUUGGCUGACUUGCCCAGACUGAUGGCCCAUACCAAGAACUAACUCUGCUGGAAUCACGACCCCAACCCAGGAGCCAAGUCAACAUGAGACUUUUCCCUGAUUGGCUGAUCUUUUGCCUUCCAAACUGUCUUUAAAAACCUUGUCUCCCAAAUUCUCAGAGAGGCAGAUCUGAGAAACUCCUCUU